rnacentral:rRNA from 1 species
AACGAACGCUGGCGGCAUGCCUAACACAUGCAAGUCGAACGAGGCCUUCGGGUCUAGUGGCGCACGGGUGCGUAACGCGUGGGAACCCGCCCUUAGGUUCGGAAUAACUCCCCGAAAGGGGAGCUAAUACCGGAUAAUGUCUUCGGACCAAAGAUUUAUCGCCUUUGGAUGGGCCCGCGUUGGAUUAGCUAGUUGGUAGGGUAAAAGCCUACCAAGGCGACGAUCCAUAGCUGGUCUGAGAGGAUGAUCAGCCACACUGGGACUGAGACACGGCCCAGACUCCUACGGGAGGCAGCAGUGGGGAAUAUUGGACAAUGGGCGAAAGCCUGAUCCAGCAAUGCCGCGUGAGUGAUGAAGGCCUUAGGGUUGUAAAGCUCUUUUACCCGGGAUGAUAAUGACAGUACCGGGAGAAUAAGCGCCGGCUAACUCCGUG